GGUAAAAUGGCUGAGAUUAAAGGUGAUAGAUUGUAAAUCUAUUAAGAAGAAUAUUAUUCUUUUUUACCA
rnacentral:tRNA from 1 species